rnacentral:lncRNA from 7 species
ACAAGAAGCUGGGAGGGGACAUAGCCAGGGCAGCUUUCCUAAACUGGACAAAGAUGUAUCCCAUACUAUGUGGCAUCAUAAUGAAUGAUGGGGAAAAUGAGAAGAGGAGAAAAUAAACUAAACCCUGGCAAUUGCAGGAAUGUGGUGAUGUUCCGGAAGCUUCUCACCCUGUUUUCUCAAGGUACAAUCUGAUUUGCAUCUGGCCAUCUAAGUGGGAUGACUGAGAGCUUAAAGAAUGAUGAAACCUGAAGGAGUCAGAAAUGACCAGAGAACCCCAGGCCUAGUCACUGCCCUUCUGAGAUUUCAUCAGAUAAGCCUCCACAAACUGCUUUGAUUUUGACAAACAAUAUAAUAGUGUGAAAUUGUU